GGUUCCAUGGUGUAGCAGAGCACAUCUGCUUUACACGCAGAAGGUCCCGAGUUCGUGCCCCAGUGGAAUCA
rnacentral:tRNA from 1 species